CCUACGGGGGGCAGCAGUGGGGAAUAUUGCACAAUGGGCGCAAGCCUGAUGCAGCCAUGCCGCGUGUGUGAAGAAGGCCUUCGGGUUGUAAAGCACUUUCAGCGGGGAGGAAGGCGGUGAGGUUAAUAACCUCAUCGAUUGACGUUACCCGCAGAAGAAGCACCGGCUAACUCCGUGCCAGCAGCCGCGGUAAUACGGAGGGUGCAAGCGUUAAUCGCAAUUACUGGGCGUAAAGCGCACGCAGGCGGUCUGUCAAGUCGGAUGUGAAAUCCCCGGGCUCAACCUGGGAACUGCAUUCGAAACUGGCAGGCUAGAGUCUUGUAGAGGGGGGUAGAAUUCCAGGUGUAGCGGUGAAAUGCGUAGAGAUCUGGAGGAAUACCGGUGGCGAAGGCGGCCCCCUGGACAAAGACUGACGCUCAGGUGCGAAAGCGUGGGGAGCAAACAGGAUUAGAUACCCGUGUAGUC
rnacentral:rRNA from 1 species